rnacentral:lncRNA from 1 species
GUGGAAUAACUGGAACUGUUCUACUAUUAGCCAGAGUAUAAACUGGCACAGCCCAGUUUUGAAGACUGUUUUCAAGUGUUUAUUAAAGACAAACAAAUGCAUAUCUAUGGCCUCCUAACUCCACUCUUAUGUAAAUUCUUAAUAAAAACAUCUACGUAUGUUAAUCAAAAUACAUGUACAAAAAUGCCGUAAAGGUAUUAUUUAUAAGAGCCUAAAUUUGGAAACAACACAAGUGUCUAUCAGCAGUAGAAUGGAUGGAUAAAUAAUAGUACAUUCUUUUUUUUUUGAGACGGAGUUUUGCUCUCUCUCCCAGGCUGGAGUGCAAUGGUGCAAUCUUGGCUCACUGCAACCUCUGCCUCCCAGGUUCAGGCAAUUCUCCUGCCUCAGCUUCCCAAGUAGCUGGGAUUACACACGCCUGCCACUGCGCCCAGCUAAUUUUUGUAUCUUUCAGUACAGACGGCGUUUCACCACAUUGGCCAGGCUGGUCUUGAACUCGUGACCUCAGGUGAUCCACCUGCCUUGGCCUCCCAAAGUGCUAGGAUUACAGGUGUGAGCCACCACGCCUGGUCAAUAACAGUACAUUAUUAUUCAGGAGCCUAGAAGAUCUGCAAACUCACAAAAUAGCUCAUCUUUUGGCUCACUGAUGUCUUCACUUCUACAAGUGAAUUUGCCUUUUUUUUUUUCCUGACUCAAGCUUGGCAGAGGCUUUGCUUUUGUUAAAAUGCAGUUACCUAGCAUAUUAUUAUUUAGAGUGCUCAGGAGUACAUUUCAUGAUAUGUGGAGGGUUGAGGGAUUGAUGGUGGUAUAGGGGUCUGUGUGCUGUGUCAGGGCAGCAGGGGACAAAGUUGGGGCUCAUCUGGGAGUGGAAAUGCAAACAAAACAAAACAAACAAACAGAAAAACCCACAUGACUAAGGAAAGAUGAGGGUGGGUGUCAAAGACAAACUCCUGUUUCAUAAUUUGGCUCCUGGUCUACAUUCUAGGAAUACUAUACAGCAAUAAAAUGAAGUUCUACUACCUGUAGCAAAAUGGGAGAAUGUUAGAAAGAUGAUGUUGAAUGAAACAAGCCAACUACAAAGGGGUGGGGACGCAGGAGUCCUGAGGAGGCUGCAGGAGACUCCAGUUUACCCACGGAUGGCGUGUGGUGGAACAGACCACUCAUAGGAUCCUCAAGCUCACAGACCAGACCCAACAAGGGUCUCAUGAGAAGUGGCUAUGGAAGAAUCUGAUAGAAUUGAAUACCUAGACUGUUCCACUCUUACAGGAUACCUGGAGAGCCAGCAGCAUAGACAGCCAGGCUGUCGAGGCCUCAUUCCCAGUCGUGGCUCUCUGCAGUAGCCUUUUCUUUUCCUCUUAAUCUAUGCAGGCUUAGUUCCUCCCAGCUCCAAAGAGUUCCUUGGUCUCAACUUCUAGUUCUCAUAUUAUACCAACCUACUGCUUAAGAGGGAGUCAAAUGCCUAUCAUAGAAGGCUAAGAGCAUUUGACUCAUUUGCUUUUACCCUUAUCCCCCAUUUUCCAUUCUCAUGGACAAAUAUCAAGGAGGUGGCAUCAUCUUUAGAGGUUUUAAUUCAUAUCACCAUCUGUGUCUUAUAAUUUCCUGACCUCAGUCAGGGGCCAAUCUCAUCUCCAUAUAUUUCAACUUCCAUAAAGCAAAUGUUCUCUGGACAUAAUGGUGUGAACCAAAACAUGGAUCCAUUUGCCCUUAAGAUCAAAUCUCCAGCUAGAGAUCUCAUGUCGAAUGAAUUUAUCCUUUCACAGGAGCUACAUUCUAUGAGCAAGCAAUGUCUAAUGAAAUGUAUUUAAUACAGUAGCAUUUUGUCUGCUUCCACAUUCCCUGAGUGUCUGAUUUCUCAUUUAAUACUUCAUUUAAUCAAUUCAUUUCCACAAAUUAUAACUCAAAAUGCUUUUAGGGAGCAUGUCUGAGAAGGGAAGGGAGAAUGAAAGUAAAUCUGAUUUAAAAUGGUUUAAAAUGUCAGUUUUAGGACAAGGCCAUACUGUUGCGGAGGGCCAAAAAGACACAGGAUUCUUAAAGGGUUUUCUUAAAGGGUUUCACUUCUGCUACUGAACUCCUGGUUACAUGGAAAGGUCUCCUGGUCACCAGCUAGGUUCCCAGGUGUCCCCACCGUGGAUGGACCAGGACUGUACCUCCAAUGGCAUUUCUGCUAGCCUGGAUCAAGCUACCACAGGGUACAUUGUCUACCAAUGGGCAGUUACCUCUUCCAUGGACAUAAACCUCUUCUAUCUUUUUGGGCAAGAACUGGUGGUGAUGGAAGAUUUCAAUGACAUUAAAAGAGAUAAGGUAAAGUGCCUAGCUCUGUAUCCAGCUCAUAGAAAGUUUCAGUAAAUGCUAUCUGUUGUCAGAAUGAUGAAUAAAAAUAGGAACACUUUUGUGAGUUUUUUCUCCUCUGGACAAGCUUCUUAUGGAAUGCAUUAAAGCAAGUUGUGGACGGGAGCAUGUAAUUUUCUCAAACUGCAUGGAGCACAAUGACCAAUACCUUGUUAAUAAAAUUGGGACAAUUUCUUUAUUUUGAAAAUGUGAUAAAUGUACAAGUUAUUACUGGUUACCAGAUUGUUCUGGAGUGCAGUGGCAUGAUCAUGACUCACUGCAGCCUUGACCUCCUGGGCUCAGGCAAUCCUCCUGCCUCAGCCUCUGGAGUAGCUGAGACUACAGGUACAUGCCACCAUGCCUGGCUAAUUUUUUAAUUUUUUUGUAGAGACAGGGUCUUGUUAUUUUAUCCAGG